rnacentral:lncRNA from 1 species
AAUUUGAGAAAAUGACAUGCUUUGAUCCUCAAACUAAAAGAUGGUGGAUACUUUGGUCCUUAAACUUUAAUUUGUUAUAAUUUCUAGCUCGAAUUUUUAGAAUUAUUGCAAUCAGGUCAUACAACCUAAUUUAGUUGACUAAAUAUUAACGUAUCAUUGAUGUAAAUGUAAUAUAGAAUCUUAAUUAUUAUUACAUCAUCUAUCAAAAUACUAUAACAUCACUUCUACAUUAAUAAUUUAUUAAUAUCUAGCCAAUUAAAUUAGAUUGCAGUGCUUGAUUGUAAUAAUUUUAAAAAUUUAAGCAUAAAUUACAACAAAUUAAAGUUUGGAAAUUGAAGUAGCAAUUUAUCCCUUUUUUUUUGUAUUGGGUG